ensembl:lncRNA
CGACGCUCUCUAAACUGUCGCGACUGACCCGGUGAGACAAGCAGCUUGAAGCUCCUGCGGCCCUCCCGGGCCACGUCCACGGCACGGUGAGGCGCAAAGGCGUCUUGCAGCCCCACCCCUACCCCCACCCCCACUCGACGCUCUCUAAACUGCCGCGACCGACCCGGUGAGACAAGCAGCUGGAAACUCCUGCGGCCGUCCCCACCGCACGCCACACAUUCCUCAGAGGGAUGGAGAGGAUUUGGAUCCUUCUCACAGAGCAUAAAUAGUAUUAUGAAGAGCCAUUUAAGAAAUGGACAAUGGAAAUGUGGAAUCUGAGUGUGGAGAAGAAAGGCCUGAAGGCAGCAGGAUAAGAUUCUGUAUCUUUGAAUAGAAGACAACCUUUAUGUGCCUCAUGCCUGCUCCUUCCUCCUCUCUCUGCUUCCUGGCCACCAUGAUGUGCACAGCAUUCCUCUGCCCAGGCCCCUCCACCAUGCCAUUUCUGCACUUGAACUUGCCAACCAUGGACUGAAACUCCAGAAACAAGCUGCAUUUACCAUUCCUUGUGACCAGAGUCUUAGGUGCUGUUUCCAAG